rnacentral:rRNA from 1 species
UACGUAGGGUGCGAGCGUUGUCCGGAGUUACUGGGCGUAAAGCGCACGCAGGCGGCCUGCUAAGUUUGGAGUGACAGUUGGUGGCUCAACCACCAAAGUGCUUUGAAAACUGACAGACUUGAGGGCUUCAGAGGGACACGGAAUUCCGGGUGGAGUGGUGAAAUGCGUAGAGAUCCGGAGGAACACCAAAGGCGAAGGCAGUGUCCUGGGGAGUACCUGACGCUCAGGUGCGAAAGCCAGGGGAGCGAACGGG